UACGUAGGGUGCAAGCGUUGUCCGGAAUUAUUGGGCGUAAAGAGCUCGUAGGCGGUCUGUCACGUCGGCUGUGAAAACCCGAGGCUCAACCUCGGGCCUGCAGUCGAUACGGGCAAACUAGAGUACUGCAGGGGAGACUGGAAUUCCUGGUGUAGCGGUGAAAUGCGCAGAUAUCAGGAGGAGCACCGGUGGCGAAGGCGGGUCUCUGGGCAGUAACUGACGCUGAGGAGCGAAAGCGUGGGGAGCGAACAGG
rnacentral:rRNA from 1 species